CGGGGAGUCCAUAGAACCUGAUUCUGGGUGAAGUUUUCGGGGGUUGGAGCUUUGGGGCAGGAUAUAGGGAUAUGUGCCACUUUUGACAUGGCGGUUCAUUGCCUUUCCCAUCGAUGAACCGGGCUGAGAUUUGGUCUACCCCCCCAUUUUCGGGUAUGCUGAAUCUAGAAAUAGUAAUGAACCAGCGAUCGGACAUUCCUAUCAAAAGUUAUGGCGAAGUGAAAAUUUCCCAUUGAAAAUGAAUGGGAGCGGAAAAAUGGCCAAAGUCAGUGUUUGCAAGUGUUCUACUUGUCUGGAAAUGUUGAAAAUGCAUUGUGAGCACGUUUCAGGCCAUUUCCUGUCAUUUGAGGGCGACUUUGCAAAAAGGGGUGUCCUACCGCUUUUGACCAGAGGUGGCGCUGCACAUGUCCGACGGUUAGGGUUAGGGUGAGACUUUGGGCAAGGGGUUAGGGUUAGGGCUGGAGCUAUGGUUAGGGUUAGUGGUGGAGCUAGGGUUGGAGCUAGGGUUAGGGUUAGGGUUGGAGCUAGGGUUAGGGUUAGGGUUAGGAAAAUGUGAAGAUUUUCCCAAAAUCUGAAGAUUUUCCUAAGUGCGGACCCAAUUUUUCACCUUCCAGAAUUGUGUUAGGAGCACGUUUCAGGCCACGGGGAGUCCAUAGAACCUGAUUCUGGGUGAAGUUUUCGGGGGUUGGAGCUUUGGGGCAGGAUAUAGGGAUAUGUGCCACUUUUGACAUGCCGGUUCAUUGCCUUUCCCAAUGAUGAACCGGGCUGAGAUUUGGUCUACCCCCCCAUUUUCGGGUAUGCUGAAUCUAGAAAUAGUAAUGAACCAGCGAUCGGACAUUCCUAUCAAAAGUUAUGGCGAAGUGAAAAUUUCCCAUUGAAAAUGAAUGGGAGCGGAAAAAUGGCCAAAGUCAGUGUUUGCAAGUGUUGUACUUGUCUGGAAAUGUUGAAAAUGCAUUGUGAGCACGUUUCAGGCCAUUUCCUGUCAUUUGAGGGCGACUUUGCAAAAGGGGUGUCCUACCGCUUUUGACCAGAGGUGGCGCUGCACAUGUCCGACGGUUAGGGUUAGGGUGAGACUUUGGGCAAGGGGUUAGGGUUAGGGCUGGAGCUAUGGUUAGGGUUAGUUGUGGAGCUAGGGUUGGAGCUAGGGUUAGGGUUAGGGUUGGAGCUAGGGUUAGGGUUAGGGUUAGGAAAAUGUGAAGAUUUUCCCAAAAUCUGAAGAUUUUCCUAAGUGCGGACCCAAUUUUUCACCUUCCAGAAUUGUGUUAGGAGCACGUUUCAGGCCACGGGGAGUCCAUAGAACCUGAUUCUGGGUGAAGUUUUCGGGGGUUGGAGCUUUGGGGCAGGAUAUAGGGAUAUGUGCCACUUUUGACAUGGCGGUUCAUUGCCUUUCCCAUCGAUGAACCGGGCUGAGAUUUGGUCUACCCCCCCAUUUUCGGGUAUGCUGAAUCUAGAAAUAGUAAUGAACCAGCGAUCGGACAUUCCUAUCAAAAGUUAUGGCGAAGUGAAAAUUUCCCAUUGAAAAUGAAUGGGAGCGGAAAAAUGGCCAAAGUCAGUGUUUGCAAGUGUUGUACUUGUCUGGAAAUGUUGAAAAUGCAUUGUGAGCACGUUUCAGGCCAUUUCCUGUCAUUUGAGGGCGACUUUGCAAAAGGGGUGUCCUACCGCUUUUGACCAGAGGUGGCGCUGCACAUGUCCGACGGUUAGGGUUAGGGUGAGACUUUGGGCAAGGGGUUAGGGUUAGGGCUGGAGCUAUGGUUAGGGUUAGUUGUGGAGCUAGGGUUGGAGCUAGGGUUAGGGUUAGGGUUGGAGCUAGGGUUAGGGUUAGGGUUAGGAAAAUGUGAAGAUUUUCCCAAAAUCUGAAGAUUUUCCUAAGUGCGGACCCAAUUUUUCACCUUCCAGAAUUGUGUUAGGAGCACGUUUCAGGCCACGGGGAGUCCAUAGAACCUGAUUCUG